rnacentral:lncRNA from 1 species
CACCCUCGCCAUCAAACACCCACCGUCGCCAUCUGUAUCACAACACAACCGUCACACCACUAUUACACUGCUAUCACACCGCUAUCACUUGACACUCAACCAUAUGCGUUCUCCUCUUUCCCCCCUCAAUCGGAGACCACCAAAAUCUAUUACCCAUACCCCACUCCAUCUUUGUCACCUGGGCACCCUCCCUGACCAUCAGUGCAAUGAGAAACCCUAGCCACCACAAUUUUCAAACUCAUUAAUCGGAGACCACCACAAACUCAUUCAUCUCUCUCGCUAUAAUCUCCGUAAAUAAGCGUAGCUUAGAGCUCUCAGAGCCCCCUGUUCCUUGACUAUGAAUUUUUUGAGUCAGUGAUAGUGCCCCUCCACCCCUCUCUAUAAAAAAAGCCCAAAGAGCCACAACCACAAUCAAUCCCAACCAUCUCUAGGUUUGUAUCGAUGAUUUUUGUUGGAUAAAAGAGUCUUUUGUGUUGUUUUAAACGUUUUUCUAUUGGAUGCGUGGUUUAUGAUGAUUUUUCAUUGUAGAAAAGGAAUUGGUGGUUUUUUUUCAUCUGAAUGUUUUUCCCCUUCUUUCAAUCCCUUUCAAAGUCACGCCACUAUUAAAAUCACUACCAACCCAUUUUGGGUUUUAUUCUCUCUUCUCCAUCUCUCCUUCCGUUAUUAAUCAGUUCAUUUAUUCAUUGAUUUUAUCUUUGGUUUGAUUGUAGGUUUUAUGAAGAUCCCCAAUAGCCAUUAUCUUCAACACCACCAAAUCCUUCAUCAGCCGCCAUUUUCAACACACAUACCUGUAGUUCCCCUCAUCAUCACCACCACACCAUUUCUCAGGUUUACACCACCAUUAUCUCUGUUUCCCCUCUUUUUAUUCUUCGCCAAUUUAUAAAAUUAAUCAUACAGGUGCGUAUUUAUUUGAUUAUGGCUUAAAGUUUUACUUUUUUUAGGAUACAUUGGCAUACAUGUUUAUAAAAAUCAUUACUUUUACUUUCAAAAUGUUAAAAUUACUGAAUAUGGGAAGUCAAUAUGAAGCUUAACAAGAUAUAGAUAAGAAAGAUAAGGAUUUGGAACAUAUAAAGGUAUUUGUAUAUGUUUCUGAUAUCAUGAUGUUAAAAAAUUGGAUUUUAUUCAAACUAUUAUGGAUGUUUGGUUGACCUUUUUAUUAAAAUAUAGCUUAUGCUUUUAAUAGAUGAUUAUUUUCUAUUUAUCAUUAGUUAUAUCACACAAUCUUUCUUAUGUAUGAUUGAUGAAGAUCUGUUGCUCCUCUUCAAGGUAACAAUCUUGACCUAAUUCUCUUUGAAUUCGGUUUAAAUGAACUGUCUGUGUACUUUGAUUGUACAACAUUAUUAACAUAGAUCUGCCAACAAUAUCUGCAAUUUGUUCUAAUUUUCAGGUGCGUCUAUUUAGUUCAUUCCAGGUGUUCAUCUCCAAUGUAUAUGUAUGGUUUUUGUUCAGCUAACAACAAAACAUUGGCCUUUAUGUAGGUAUGAUUUUAUUUGAACCUGUAAAAACAAUACAUUCAACGAAAGGACCUAUGAAAUUUGUCUGGUUUUGGGAUUUAGUGUCUAGGGUGAAGCAAGAUUUAAAUCCUUCUCCAAUUUCUGGAAUUGGAUUCAAAAUCAUUUGACUUUGUCAAGUAAACCCAAAAAUUUUAAAUUAUUUUCUUCUUUUGGAUUCACCUUUAGUUUAUUUUUUUGAUACUCUAAAAGUGAAUGAACCUGGUAAUUUGGUGUGCUCCUAAAAUCGUCUUUAUGUUGGGCCAUGGCAUAUAAUUCCAGUCAAGUAUUAUAGGAAAUGUUGGAGUUUAGCACCUAAUAGUUGAGUGGCAGGGGAAAAGGAGGAAAACAACACCAUGGAUAGUUCUCUUAAUCAUGAUACCAACUAUAUGUUGUCAAUCCAUUUGUUUAUUGUGAUUUGAUAGACAUUUUUGGUUUUUUUGGAGUGCACAUACCUCUUCAUCUCAUAGAUAAAUUUGUGUACAAAGUGUUAGUCUCCUCUUAAAAGUAUUGUGAUCUGCAUGCUUUAAAUUACCAUUAGAUGAUUUUAGUAUUCACUUGUGUUUGUAUGUCCAUUUUUUGUGGUUUAGUGUUUGGUAGGCUGGAAUUUUGUUCAUAGGUUUGUCUGUGAUGAUGAAAAAGAAUUUUGUAGGUUUGAUAUAAUUUUCUGUAACCAAACCUAGAAAGGUAGUGAUGUUGAUUCGAUUUAUAGAAAUAAAAAACCAUGUAGAUGCAUUUAUAUGACAAUUGAAUAAAUAUUUUCGAAUGAGGUUCAUGAUAGAAAUAUUUGGUUGGUCAAAUGACUAAUGUAAUGGUUAUCAAUAUUUAUGAGGUUUUUGUAACAGUUUAACACUUGUAUUGUAGGUGCUUUGGCAUCUUAACAAUUGCUUUAAUGCAUCACCAAAUAUGGUUUCACUUACAUUGUUUAAUGGGUUUCUUGGUGGAGUUGAAAAUCCAGUUACUUUCUAAUUUCUAUAUUUGCAGACAAGAAUAGAGUAUUAGAUAUUAUUCAACAAUAAGAAACAUUCUUGCAGCGAUUAAUAUCAUAAAUGGCAACAACAUAUUCAUAAGGAUAAUGGCAACAAAAACCUGAACCAUUUAAAUAUGAGUAACUUUGAAUUGUUGGCAUGCGGUUGAUAAAAUAUUGAAAUUGUUGCUACCACUUUUAUGCAUAUUUUUCAGAUUUUCAAAUAUGCCGUUAAACUUGGUGCACGUCGCUCGUAGUUCACGCCAUUUUCCGUUGACCGCGUCGUACGUUCGACCCGUUUGCCUUCCCAAA